GGACUACAGGGGUUUCUAAUCCUGUUUGCUACCCACGCUUUCGCGCAUCAGCGUCAGAUGAAGCCCAGUUUGCUGCCUUCGCCAUGGGUGUUCCUCCUGAUAUCAACGCAUUUCACCGCUACACCAGGAAUUCCACAAACCUCUGCUUCCCUCAAGUCUGCCAGUAUGCAGAGCAGUUUCCAGGGUGAGCCCAGAGAUUUCACUCUACACUUAACAGACCGCCUACGCGCUCUUUACGCCCAGUAAAUCCGGACAACGCUUGCACCCUACGUCUUACCGCGGCUGCUGGCAC
rnacentral:rRNA from 1 species